AAGGCCACCCUCCCUGCCUUUUCAGCUCCAAGGCAAGGUGAAGGCCAUGGGAUCUGGCCAUCUGUGUGCAUCAGCACCCCAGAAGCCUCCUCCCUUCAGCGUUCCUCCUCCAGCUCUUGGACAACUCCUGUGUGCCUUGGAGAGAAAACAAGCUGACCGCAUCCAAAUCAUGAAAGAGAAAGAAGGCUCUCUGAAGCUCAAGGUUUUGAUGAACUACAGAAACACAGCAAAUCAAACCUCACAGGGAGCAUGUAUAGAUGAACAUAUACUCCAUAAAAAAUAAACAGCUUGCCAAGAGGGACAGGAAAUCUUUUCUGUAAGCUUCAUGUUUCUACAAAAAGGCAAGAUCAAAGAUCCUGCUGGAUUUAGGAUGGAAAGUCUGGAGAUCAGUUCAAAUGGCAUGUAAACAGUGUCAGAUUCUUGCAGAAAAUGUCUAUGGUUGUCAAGUCAUUUCAAAAAAAUAAGAAAAGCAAAAUGGAUGAACUGCCUGACUUUUAAUUUGUUCCCCCAAUUAAUCCAUGAAAUUCAUGUGCGUGUUGCAGGGACAUUAGGAUAGGUGCCUUUCAAGGAUUUUGAAGAAUAGAUGGAAAGUGGUUUGGCUGAUGUGGGUCUUCCAGGCUGUGUGGCCAUGUUCCAGAAGUUUUGGUUCCUAACGUGAAAGUGGUUUCUUUCACUAGCUUCCUGGAAAUUUAAUUUGAAUGGAAGAUGGGUUUCCUAAAGAAGACAGAUCUGCUAUUGGCACUCAUGCCCCAGCUUUUCCCAACCUAGUUCUCAUCAGUAAUGUUGGACAACCAAAUAUAUAGGCAAAUGUUGGGGAGGACUGGUGCAAUAAUACAUCACUCAUAACUUCCUAUUAUUGCUAAAUAUGGCUAUGCUAAUGCACAAUGGAUUCCAGGCUACACCAGUAAUAUACAUAGAUUUGAAUAGGUAAAGAUGAUUCUAAAGGCAGGAGC